CUGGCUCAGAACGAACGCUGGCGGCGGGCCUAAAACAUGCAAGUUGAACGGGUGUAGCAAUACAUCAGUAGCGGACGGGUGAGGAACAUAUGGGAACGUGCCCCAUGGUGGGGGAUAACCUUUGGAAACGAGGGAUAAUACCGCAUAAGCCAUGAGUGGGAAAGAUUAAUCGCCGAGGGAGCGGCCCAUAUUGGAUUAGCUAGUUGGUUAGGUAAGGCUGACCAAGGCGACGAUCCAUAGCCGGUUUGAGAGGAUGAUCGGCCACACUGGGACUGAGACACGGCCCAGACUCCUACGGGAGGCAGCAGUUAGGAAUAUUGGACAAUGGGGGAAACCUUGAUCCAAGCCAUGCCGCGUGAGUGAAGAAGGCCUUCGGGUUGUAAAGCUCUUUUGUAUGGGAAAAUGAUGAUGGUACCAUAAGAAUAAGCACCGGCAAACUUCGUGCCAGCCGCUGC
rnacentral:rRNA from 1 species